CUGUUCUGCAAGUCCUCCGUUAAAUCCACCCGCUUAACGGAUGGGCUGCGGGGGAUACUGCAGAGCUAGGAGGCGGGAGAGGCAAACGGUACUCAGUGGGUAGGGGUAAAAUCCUUUGAUCCACUGAAGACCACCAGUGGCGAAGGCGGUUUGCCAGAACGCGCUCGACGGUGAGGGAUGAAAGCUGGGGGAGCAAACCGGAUUAGAUACCCGGGUAGUCCCAGCUGUAAACGAUGCAGACUCGGUGAUGAGUUGGCUACAUGCCAUCUCAGUGCCGCAGGGAAGCCGUUAAGUUUGCCGCCUGGGGA
rnacentral:rRNA from 1 species